rnacentral:lncRNA from 1 species
GGAGACUGCAUUUUCAGUUAAUCACUUAAGGUUCAGAGUUGAGAGUCAACCUCCCAAAUCACAGCGGAUUCUGUUAUCACCAUUAACCUUCAAAACAAAGGGCUCUUGAAAUCCCCAGCAGAAUUGUUAAAAUCACUUCACUAUUUCCAUGUUAACGUUUUCUUUCUUUUUCUCCUGAUAGUGGAUCUGUAUCUACAUUAGAGACUGCAGGACAGAAGAGCUUGUGUUUCAAACCAUGCGUUCUCAUUGUUGUUCUAUUCAAAUACCCCAAAGUCUUGUAUACUUUCUGAUUUUGAGCAACACAAGGGACAAGAAGAAAGCACAAGAAAUUAAAGUGUCUCUCACUUGUAGGCACAUUUUCUAGCAAAUGACAGUGUAUUUCAACAACACUUAAUGGGUACUCUCAUGUCUUCUUUACCU